rnacentral:rRNA from 1 species
AUUGAACGCUGGCGGCAGGCCUAACACAUGCAAGUCGAGCGAGCGGCGGACGGGUGAGUAAUGUCUGGGAAACUGCCUGAUGGAGGGGGAUAACUACUGGAAACGGUAGCUAAUACCGCAUACCAUCAGAUGUGCCCAGAUGGGAUUAGCUAGUAGGUGGGGUAACGGCUAACAUAGGCGACGAUCCCUAGCUGGUCUGAGAGGAUGACCAGCCACACGGGAACUGAGAAACGGUACAGAAGCAUACGGGAGGCAGCAGUGGGGAAUAUUGCACAAUGGGAGCAAGCCUGAUGCAGCCAUGCCGCGUGUGUGAAGAAGGCCUGCGGGUUGUAAAGCACUUUCAGCGGGGAGGCGUUACCCGCAGAAGAAGCACCGGCUAACUCCGUGCCAGCAGCCGCGGUAAUUC